rnacentral:rRNA from 1 species
AUGUCCAAGUGCAGCUUUGCAGUGCAAAAAGUGGAGUAUCUGGGACAUGUGAUUUUUGAGAAGGGAGUAGCUACUGAUCCACAAAAGAUUGCAGCAAUUGCUGAUUGGCCAACUCCCAACACAGUCACAAAGCUGAGAAGUUUCUUGGGCCUGGCUGGGUAUUAUAAAAGGUUUAUUAAAGAUUAUGGCCUUAUUUGUAGGCCACUACAUGACCUUCUAAAGAAAGGACAGUUCCUAUGGACCCCAGUGCAUGACAAGGCCUUCUGUACACUCAAACAAGCCUUAACUACAGCACCAGUCCUGGCACUACCAAAUUUCAGUCAACCAUUUGUACUAGAAACUGAUGCAUCAGGAAAGGGCAUUGGGGCAGUUCUCAUGCAGGGAGGAAGACCCUUGUCCUACUACAGCUCUGCUCUUUGUCCAAGAAAUGAAGCUCUCUCUAAUUAUGAAAAAGAAGCUCUAGCUAUUUUGGAAGCAUUAAAGAGGUGGAGACACUAUUUACUGGGCAAUGAGCUGGUGAUCAAAACUGAUCAACAAUCCUUAAAGUUUAUCACAGAUCAGAGAAUAACAGAGGGAGUACAACACAAGUUGAUGAUGAAACUCUUAGAAUUCAAUUUCACCAUUCAGUACAAGAAAGGAGUGCAAAACAAAGUUGCUGAUGCUUUAUCUAGACUAUUGCCCAGUUGUUUCACCCUAUCUGCUGUGACUCCUACAUGGGCAGAAGAUCUAGUAGGGAGUUAUCAGGAAGAUCCACACUCUCAACAGUUGCUAGAGAAAUUGUUAGUGCAAAAGCAGGAUAACUCUUCUGAUUACAGCCUACAUUCUGGGAUAAUUAGAUUCAAGGGUAAACUAUGGGUGGGCAAGUCGGCAGAGCUGAGAAAUAAACUACUGACUGCACUACAAAAUUCCCCUAUUGGAGGCCACUCAGGAGUGAGAGCUACUUAUAACAGAGUGACGAACAUUUUUUUCUGGCCAGGACUGAAACAGGAUGUAGAGACUUUUAUUGCAGCAUGUCCUAUUUGCCAAAGAGCAAAACAUGAGAACUGCUUGCAACCUGGCCUGCUGGACCCCCUCCCUGUUGCAGACAUGGCUUGGCAACACAUCUCACUGGACUUUGUGGAAGGCCUACCAAAAUCCCAGGGCAAGGAUGUUAUUAUGGUUGUGGUCGAUAGAUUCACGAAGUACAGUCAUUUCAUUCCCCUGUCCCACCCAUAUUCAGUUCUCUCGGUGGCUCAAAAGUUUGUCGACAACAUCAUAAGAUUACAUGGCCCUCCUAAACUUAUUGUCUCUGAUAGAGAUAGAAUUUUCACGAGCAAACUAUGGAAAGACAUUUUUACUGCCCUCAAGGUGGAACUGAGAUUUAGCACGGCCUACCAUCCUCAAACUGAUGGCCAGACAGAGCGGGUGAACCAGUGUUUAGAAACUUAUUUGUGA